rnacentral:rRNA from 1 species
UGGGGAAUCUUGGACAAUGGGCGCAAGCCUGAUCCAGCCAUGCCGCGUGAGUGAAGAAGGCCUUAGGGUUGUAAAACUCUUUCGCCGGAGAAGAUAAUGACGGUAUCCGGAGAAGAAGCCCCGGCUAACUUCGUGCCAGCAGCCGCGGUAAUACGAAGGGGGCUAGCGUUGUUCGGAAUUACUGGGCGUAAAGCGUACGUAGGCGGAUUUGUAAGUAGGGGGUGGAAUCCCCAGGCUCAACCUGGGAACUGCCUUCUAGACUGCAAGUCUUGAGAUCAGGAGAGGCGAGUGGAAUUCCGAGUGUAGAGGUGAAAUUCGUAGAUAUUCGGAGGAACACCAGUGGCGAAGGCGACUCGCUGGACUGAUACUGACGCUGAGGUACGAAAGCGUGGGGAGCAAACAGG